UCGGGAAUUUUGGGCAAUGGGCGAAAGCCUGACCCAGCAACGCCGCGUGGAUGAUGAAGGCCUUAGGGUUGUAAAAUCCUUUCGCCGAGGACGAUAAUGACGGUACUCGGAGAAGAAGCUCCGGCUAACUUCGUGCCAGCAGCCGCGGUAAUACGAAGGGGGCUAGCGUUGUUCGGAUUUACUGGGCGUAAAGCGCGUGUAGGCGGGUCGUUAAGUUGGGGGUGAAAUCCCGAGGCUCAACCUCGGAACUGCCUUCAAAACUGGCGACCUGGACCUAAGUAGAGGCAAGUGGAAUUGCGAGUGUAGAGGUGAAAUUCGUAGAUAUUCGCAGGAACACCAGUGGCGAAGGCGACUUGCUGGACUUAUGGUGACGCUGAGACGCGAAAGCGUGGGGAGCAAACAGGAUUAGAUACCCGUGUAGUCCCUGAGCGGGCUGGCAAGGCGCAU
rnacentral:rRNA from 1 species